rnacentral:lncRNA from 1 species
CACUUCCCAUCAUGGAUGGCUUCAACUCAGCUCCCGCAGUAUCCUGGUCACCUCUCACCCAGAGCACGUACUGCUCUGAGGUUCCUGCCAGCUCGUCUGUCUGUUCUUUAAAGCAUCCUGAGGAUUGGACAAGCUCUAUUUCUGUGUUGCUGCAGCGGCCAGCAUAGACGAGAUAUGCACUAUUUCUUGAAAGAACUGUAACGUCCGAUCGAGGUGGAAGCACUCAGUUGUGCUUUGAUGCAUCUCCCCUCCAAACACAGCAGUGAAAAGUAGACAGGGAGGAGAGCACCAGCAACAGAAAACCUGUCACGAUGAGCCCGAGACCCCAAUUCCUCU